rnacentral:rRNA from 1 species
UACGGGGGGGGCAAGCGUUGUUCGGAAUUACUGGGCGUAAAGGGCUCGUAGGUGGCCAACUAAGUCAGACGUGAAAUCCCUCAGCUUAACCGGGGAACUGCGUCUGAUACUGGAUGGCUUGAGUUUGGGAGAGGGAUGCGGAAUUCCUGGUGUAGCGGUGAAAUGCGUAGAUAUCAGGAGGAACACCUGCGGUGUAGACGGCUUACUGGACCAUAACUGACGCUGAGGCACGAAAGCGUGGGUAGCAAACAGG